ACAUGCCUACAACAUAGCAUUAAUGCACCAGAUCCCAUUAGAAAUUCGUAGUUAAGUGCACUUGGGCUAGAGUAGUACUGGGAUGGGUGACUGCCCGGGAUGUCCUAGUGUUUUACAUGCC
rnacentral:rRNA from 1 species